GAUGAACGCUGGCGGCGUGCUUAACACAUGCAAGUCGAACGGAAAGGCCCAAGCUUGCUUGGGUACUCGAGUGGCGAACGGGUGAGUAACACGUGGGUGAUCUGCCCUGCACUUCGGGAUAAGCCUGGGAAACUGGGUCUAAUACCGGAUAGGACGAUGGUUUGGAUGCCAUUGUGGAAAGUUUUUUCGGUGUGAGAUGAGCUCGCGGCCUAUCAGCUUGUUGGUGGGGUAAUGGCCUACCAAGGCGUCGACGGGUAGCCGGCCUGAGAGGGUGUACGGCCACAUUGGGACUGAGAUACGGCCCAGACUCCUACGGGAGGCAGCAGUGGGGAAUAUUGCACAAUGGGCGCAAGCCUGAUGCAGCGACGCCGCGUGGGGGAUGACGGCCUUCGGGUUGUAAACUCCUUUCGCUAGGGACGAAGCGUUUUUGUGACGGUACCUGGAGAAGAAGCACCGGCUAACUACGUG
rnacentral:rRNA from 1 species